rnacentral:rRNA from 1 species
UGGGGAAUCUUGCACAAUGGGGGCAACCCUGAUGCAGCGACGCCGCGUGAGCGAUGAAGGUUUUCGAAUCGUAAAGCUCUGUCCUAUGGGAAGAUAAUGACGGUACCAUAGGAGGAAGCCCCGGCUAACUACGUGCCAGCAGCCGCGGUAAUACGUAGGGGGCGGGCGUUGUCCGGAAUUACUGGGCGUAAAGGGUUCGCAGGCGGCAUGGCAAGUCCGAUGUAAAAGGCGAAGGCUCAACCUUCGUAAGCAUCGGAAACUGUCAAGCUUGAGUGAAGGAGAGGCAGGUGGAAUUCCUAGUGUAGCGGUGGAAUGCGUAGAUAUUAGGAGGAAUACCGGUGGCGAAGGCGACUUGCUGGACUUCAACUGACGCUGAGGAACGAAAGCGUGGGUAGCAAACAGG